CUGGCGCUCACGUGGGGCAAAUUCCAAAGGCCUGGGUGGCUCCCACCCUCAGCUUCCUCCCCGGCUGGCUGGCGGGCACUGAAGCUGCAGGGUACCGCCUGCAGAGCUCCGUAAAACCAGGAAAAACCUACACGGUUCCAUUCCUGAAAAGGAGCUAAUCCCGUCUCAGUUCCGCAAGUUUAUCCCCCAGACCCGCCAAACCACUGUGAGCGAGGCGUUCCUCCUCCUCCGUGAACACCGGCUCCCCGCCCCCCCAGCCCGAGGUUUCCAUUUUCACCUAGUUAAAAUAGACAAGGCACUGUCCCCGGUGGCGGCGGCGGCGGCGGCGGCGGCAUCCUACGGAGGCACAGAGAGGGCUUGGAGUCCAGCCUGCUGGCAGAGGCAGAGAGGGGCUUAGAGCGGCCUGGAACUCUCUACUCCCUGAAGCUCCAGGGAGUCACCAAAACAACUGCCUACCACCGCCUCCUGCCUGUGCUGACUCUGCGGCCAGCCAAGGCAUUCAACAAGACCUGCUUUGGAGCUCUACCAACGCCUCCUGCUGGCUGAAAAGCACUACUACACCCCCAAAACCACGGAAAGGAAUCUCCAAGAGAAAUGACCAGGUACAUGUUCCUUGAAGGAGAUGCAGAGACUCAGCGCAUGGUGCUGAUGACGCGGCAGCAGCUUUGUACAGCUUCUCAGCAAGUCACCCCACGGUGGUGCCCACAGAUGGGGGGGUUGUUCAGGGAAAGGACACAACACACAUUUAGGAACACAUGGGACCAAGGUCCUCACAGCCACCUUCUGAGGAACCUACCACUGUUGAGAACAGUUGGCAUACACAAAAACAGCCUGUCCCAAGUCACUGACCAGUGAGAGGCAGAACCUGGAUUGGUCUCCAUUGUUAACCACACCCUAGUUUGAAUGAACUAAAAACGUGGUUAAAAAGACCUUAGUCUCCCCCCAUUUACAAGCCUAUGAAUCCUGGCACCUAAGCCCGGUGGUACAAUGUGCCAGUCUGGUGCUGGCUACCCACUUCCUUCCAGUACAGGAGAAUGAAUCAAGGGAGACCAAGUGUAAUGUUCUUGUCAGUUUUUAUUAUUUCCCAUUCUAAAGACAAGCACAUUUACAGCAUACAUGGCUUUAAGUGAGCUAAGAAUAUAUAAAACAGUAACUAUAUGUUCAUAUAUAUUAAUACUGUCCCAAACAAAUAAAUACAAGUAUUUAAAUGCACUAAGCUUGGCAAGUACAAGUGUGUGUGUGUGUGGGGGGAUAAAACAGUAUUAUACACUAUUUUUACAUCUUUAAAGGAGAGUACAGGCAGCUCUGCUGCAGGAGCCGACGGGAUCCACACGGCACUCCCAGCUGUCCAGACACCGCACAUUCCUUCUGAAGUGGGGGCAGACGGUGGACGGCAUGUCCUCUCUAUGGCCACCAGGAAAACUGUGUCCCACCUACAGUGAACAGCUCAGCCUCCUGGGGCGGCGGGAGCUGCCUGCGCCCAUACAGUGCCAGGUGUGCCUUCCUGGCAAGCCGGGAACAUGUUCUGCGCUGGGAGCCAGUCACAAUGCCUUCAGAGAAAACACUGAAUCCACAGUCCCUUCCGUGAUUAACCAAGUCUGAGAGGUUUACAGUGAUUCAUGGUAUAAAACAAAGACUGAGAAAGUAAUUCACAUGCAGAGCGGCCGACAGGUGAGUCAGCUCUUGCUCUAUUCCCUUUCUAAGUGUGGAUUGGUAAUGCCCUUCAGACAGGAAGGAGAGCUGGAGAACACGGGAACAUUUCAUUUCAAAGUCCAAAGCAAUAUUUAAAAAGGCAGUGAUGUCAAAAUGAGAAAAAAAAAAAGAAACUAGAAACGUAAGAGUAAAUGGACCACAGAAGAGGGAAAGGGCUCAGCCAGCCCCACUGAGCCCCAGCAGCCUUUGGGGCUGUGGGAGGAUCGGAUACCAGCAGAACGGCCCCCUGUGGGGGGGCUGGGUGCUGAGCGCCCCGUCACUCACUCCCACAGUGCACUCUGAAGUGGGCAGUGAGCCGCCACCUCAGCAGAGGACCUCUUCCCGAGGCAGCAGGCCAUGCUACGCACCGGUAGAAAGGGAUGCCUGCACCCUCCCUCACUCUUGUCCAAGGACUGGGCUAUCUAUGCCUCCAUGUCCCAGGUUCAAGUCUGUUACAUGUAUCUAAAGGAGCCAAAAGAAAACUAGCUAGACCUCUCUAAGAAUUCCCAUGGUGCUCACAAUUGGUAUCAGCAUCAUGGGUAUACUCCAUAUACACUUCUUUUACAGCCUUUUAAAUAACAUGUAAACAGAACUAUGAUUAACAGAAUUUAUAAAACAUAUAAAUUGUAAGGAAAAAAAAUCUGCUAUGUGCAGAUAAGACUCAUCAUCACCUUGUAAAAGAUGACAGACUAAAUUGUCUAUGAAAUCCCUAACUUUCCUGUCUCACAAACCCCUCUUGGGCUCUCACUGUAGGGGAUAGUUUGAACUGUUUCUCAAUAGUCAUAUAACAGAAGAAUAGUAACAAUUAUUAUAAACCAAAAACUAAGAUGGUUUCUUUAGACAUUCACACAUGAUUUGUGUGUGGCCUUCUAGAAGAUGAUUAGAAACAUCCCAGAAGAACAUUUAUUCUGAAAAUAUUUGCGUCUACUGUCUCUAUGGCCCUAAAUCACCGACUAAAGAGUUGUCUCCCAGACACCUGACAAGCCACAGUGAAGGUCUCGAUUGCCAACAAGGGAGAUAUGCCCUGUGGGUGUGGACCUAAACAUGGAGCUUAUGAGGAGGCUGAGUCCAGGGACCUCAUGGUUGGUUUUAGAUCUCAAGCAGACACUCUUCUAGGACUUGAAGGGGCAGGAAGCGGUGUGGCCCCGGGUGCAUGAGCUCCUGGUGUGACUGAUCAAGCUUCCCUUUGGGUUUCACAGAGAGCAGUGGCCUUUGGGGGCCACUAGAACUGGCUUCUCUCACAGCACGGAAGGUGCUGACUUCUUUUCCCCAAGCUGAGCUAACACCUCCUACUCUGCCUGGGACCUGGAGUUUAAUGGGGUGAGUACUUCCUGUUUUACAUUCAGACUUUGUGAAAGUAGACUUGAAGUCAAUGCUCACGUGUGAGUUACUGAAUAGAAAAAUAAGUUGGGUGAGCAGUGCCUAAGUGGGCAUUUGAAAAAGUCUCCUGGAGUUUCAGACACACCAAGCUGGCUUCUUCUAGGAACUAGGACAUUAACUGUAUAGUUACAGCUGAAAGCUAUUGGUAAGGGCAGCCAUUACUAUCCACGCUAUUGAGCCACACAGGACCCCUACAGAUUCCAACACAAAAUCAUGCUCCAUAGACUCUUUAGUGAAGUCUUUUUAAAAACACAAAAAUAAAAACGAAUCCUUCAGGUCUUCUUGAAGAAUCAUAUGUGACACUAGAGGGUACCCACAUUGGUUACAUAACAGCUAAUUAGAGGACACCGUGUGUUCAUGUCUCAACUUUUCCGUAAGUCCCUUCUGGAGGCCUGUAAUGCUUGGGGAAGGCCUUCAGCUGCAGGGAGUUAAACGCAUAUUUGCGACUUCCAACAUUCUUCAUUGUAUUUUCUCUCCGACAACCCUCACUGGGGAAAAAACAAGCACAAGAAAUGACAGCAGUGAAAAAGGAAAAAGAAAAGACUUAAAGGAAAUGAACUGAUUAUUCCCAUAGCAUUAAACAAAGGUUAAUAAGAUGGGUGCUGGACUCAUUUAUAACAAACACACAUAAGAUGGAGGGUUUCUGAACAAAGCAGGUAAAAAGCACACAGAUGGAUACAUGCUGGAUGUGCUGUGGGCUGGCAGUUCCAGAGCGAUGUUGUAUCUAAGCAGACACAAUUAUUUUAAAAAUACAUGAUUUUGUGUGUAUCUUGGUUUUGGUUAUCUGGGGUACUAUCAACUUGUGGUUCAAAGAUUUUUAGACAGCAAACUGAACGAACGGGGAUAUUUUACUCUUACCAUAGCUUCUCAAACACUGUACCUUUUGUAUGUUAGCAAAAUCUGUGACCACAUCAAAACCCAGAUGCCGAUUUUUCUUGCAGAAUUCAGCAGGUAGCAAAAGCCAUCUGGCCGAGGAGGCUGCUUUGGUAUCUGUCUCCACCUAGGGGCGACUGUUCAAGAGCAAAGUGCCCAGAUAGGCCCAGGCGCUGUCUGCAGAGCAGGUCCACAUGCUCAUGGCUACCAGGCUGAUGUGCUGUGGAGGCUCCACUGAUCUCCUGGUGGCCACGAGGCACCUUCUCCAAGUGGGCUGCUUUCAGUACAACUACUUCUUGUAUAAGCGCCACUGAGCCCAACGUGAGCCCACGGGUGCUCUUCCCUGGAGAACUCACUACCAGCGUGAAUCCCAGCAGUACUCAAUGGAGGGAUGUCAUAGCAACCCAGGGG